rnacentral:rRNA from 1 species
GCUUAACACAUGCAAGUCGAGGGGCAGCAUGGUCUUAGCUUGCUAAGGCCGAUGGCGACCGGCGCACGGGUGAGUAACACGUAUCCAACCUGCCGUCUACUCUUGGACAGCCUUCUGAAAGGAAGAUUAAUACAAGAUGGCAUCAUGAGUCCACAUGUUCACAUGAUUAAAGGUAUUCCGGUAGACGAUGGGGAUGCGUUCCAUUAGAUAGUAGGCGGGGUAACGGCCCACCUAGUCUUCGAUGGAUAGGGGUUCUGAGAGGAAGGUCCCCCACAUUGGAACUGAGACACGGUCCAAACUCCUACGGGAGGCAGCAGUGAGGAAUAUUGGUCAAUGGGCGAGAGCCUGAACCAGCCAAGUAGCGUGAAGGAUGACUGCCCUAUGGGUUGUAAACUUCUUUUAUAAAGGAAUAAAGUCGGGUAUGCAUACCCGUUUGCAUGUACUUUAUGAAUAAGGAUCGGCUAACUCCGUGCCAGCAGCCGCGGUAAUACGGAGGAUCCGAGCGUUAUCCGGAUUUAUUGGGUUUAAAGGGAGCGUAGAUGGAUGUUUAAGUCAGUUGUGAAAGUUUGCGGCUCAACCGUAAAAUUGCAGUUGAUACUGGAUAUCUUGAGUGCAGUUGAGGCAGGCGGAAUUCGUGGUGUAGCGGUGAAAUGCUUAGAUAUCACGAAGAACUCCGAUUGCGAAGGCAGCCUGCUAAGCUGCAACUGACAUUGAGGCUCGAAAGUGUGGGUAUCAAACAGGAUUAGAUACCCUGGUAGUCCACACGGUAAACGAUGAAUACUCGCUGUUUGCGAUAUACUGCAAGCGGCCAAGCGAAAGCGUUAAGUAUUCCACCUGGGGAGUACGCCGGCAACGGUGAAACUCAAAGGAAUUGACGGGGGCCCGCACAAGCGGAGGAACAUGUGGUUUAAUUCGAUGAUACGCGAGGAACCUUACCCGGGCUUAAAUUGCAGAUGAAUUACGGUGAAAGCCGUAAGCCGCAAGGCAUCUGUGAAGGUGCUGCAUGGUUGUCGUCAGCUCGUGCCGUGAGGUGUCGGCUUAAGUGCCAUAACGAGCGCAACCCUUGUUGUCAGUUACUAACAGGUUCUGCUGAGGACUCUGACAAGACUGCCAUCGUAAGAUGUGAGGAAGGUGGGGAUGACGUCAAAUCAGCACGGCCCUUACGUCCGGGGCUACACACGUGUUACAAUGGGGGGUACAGAGGGCCGCUACCACGCGAGUGGAUGCCAAUCCCAAAAACCUCUCUCAGUUCGGACUGGAGUCUGCAACCCGACUCCACGAAGCUGGAUUCGCUAGUAAUCGCGCAUCAGCCACGGCGCGGUGAAUACGUUCCCGGGCCUUGUACACACCGCCCGUCAAGCCAUGGGAGCCGGGGGUACCUGAAGUGCGUAACCGCGAGGAGCGCCCUAGGGUAAAACUGGUGACUGGGGCUAAAUG